UCAAAUCCGCUGCAAGCGACAAAAAAGAGCUGCCAUUACAAUCAACAAAUCUGUUUUACAGAUCUGCGCGCGUGCAGUGUAGAUAGGGUGUGAGGAAACACGCUGCUCUGCGCUCGCUUGCCAGUUCCCUGCCUGACGUCACCCCGGCGCGCGCUUCCAUAGAUGCGAGCGCGAGAGUACAGUGACAGCGCCUCGUCCACUGUACGCAACACUGCUCAGCACUAUCUCAGGCUAUACUCGAGAAACGGCAGCAGAUCAUGGAAUGUGACUAGGCAACAUUCCGCUUUAUUUGAGGCCGGUCGUCCGCCCUGCACUCACGGUGUGCAGUACUUUAAUCCCACCGUUCCCAUUAUUAACCAAUUGAUCACUGCCCUCCUGUGAUCCGUGAAUCACAUUGGGAGCUAUAACAUUUUUAUUAAUUAUUCCUCGAGUUUUUAUCCCACUCUAACGGUUCGACUACAAGCUGAGGCUCAAUAACUGGAUUUUAUCGGUGGAACAAUAGGCGACUACUGCUGCCUGGAAAUUAAAAUUUACUCUUGGAUUAUUGUCUCAGCAUCAUGAGCACGAGUGUACCCUAUCAGCAAAGCUCGUGCAACAGUGAACGGAGCUCCGGACCAAUCCACUGCUUUCGCUGCCGGGAGGUGUGCAAAGGAGAGGUGGUACGAGUGCAACAUGUCCACUUCCACAUCAAAUGCUUCACCUGCCAAGUUUGUGGCUGUGAUUUGGCACAUUCUGGAUUCUUCCAGAAGAGUGGCGAGUACAUCUGCACAACAGACUACCAGCGCCUGUACGGCACAAAGUGUGACAGCUGUGGGGACUUUAUCUCAGGGGAGGUGGUCUCUGCACUGGGCCGCACAUAUCAUCCACAGUGUUUCGUCUGCAGCGUGUGCAGGAAACCUUUUCCAAUCGGGGACAGAGUGACGUUCAGUGGUAAAGAAUGUGUCUGUCAGCAAUGUUCCCUCAAGCUGGUUAAUUCCAAUGAGCCAAUCAAAAUCCAUGGGCCCAGUCACUGUGCAGGUUGUAAGGAGGAGAUCAAACAGGGUCAAUCUCUGCUGGCAUUAGAGAAACAGUGGCACGUCAGCUGCUUCAGGUGUCAGACCUGUGGCCUGGUCCUGACGGGGGAGUACAUCAGCAAAGACGGCAUUCCUUACUGUGAGGCAGACUACCACGCCCAGUUUGGGAUAAAGUGUGAAACAUGCGACAGAUACAUCAGUGGACGUGUGCUGGAGGCUGGUGGGAAGCACUAUCACCCCACUUGUGCUCGCUGUGCCCGGUGUCAGAUGAUGUUUACAGAAGGAGAGGAGAUGUAUCUCACAGGUUCAGAAGUGUGGCAUCCUGUGUGUAAACAGGCAUCUCGAGCAGAGAGGAAACUGAGACUCAGGCGCACAUCAGAAACCUCCAUCUCUCCUCCAGGCUCCAGCAUUAGUUCACCCAGCAGAGUCAUUUGUGCAAAAAUGGAGAACGAGAUCCUUGAUUACAAAGACUUGGCAGCGCUGCCUAAGGUUAAAGCCAUUUAUGAAGUGCAGAGGCCAGACUUCUGGUCCUAUGAGCCCAGUCACAGAUACUGCUCCGAUGACAGGCUAGAGCGUCUCAGCUAUGGGGAGUCUUUGGGCACACUCUCCCCUUAUUCUCAGGACAUGUAUGACGGUAUGGACAUGAGGCUGAGAAGAUCCUCCAGUCCAGGGUACAUAGACUCCCCCACUUACAGCAGGCAGGGCAUGUCUCCCAUCAUGCCUCGCUCUCCACAGCACUACUACAGAUACGGCACUGAGAGUGGCAGAAGUUCACCCUAUUACAAUCAGCUAGAUGCCCGGUCCAGCACGCCCACCACAAACCAAGCUCCCAAGCAUUUCCAUGUGCCAGACAAUCACUGCAAUCCAGCAACUAAGAGCAAGACCAGUGAGGACAUUCUCCAAUCCUCCAAGUUCCCAUCAGCCUACUCGCCUGAACACUACCAGCACUCUGAGUCUGAUUACUACCAUUACACCAGCUCUCCUAAAUCUUUACGUGCUCCUCGUAGAAGGUACUCAUCAGGUGGAGAAGAGGAUGGCUGGAGUCACGGCCUUCAAAGAAUUCAGGGUGGUAUCGGUAGGAUGAUCCUGAAGGAGGAGAUGAAAGCCCGCUCCGGUUCCUAUGACAACGACCCCUGGGGCAGCGCACGAAACUCCCGCAGUGGGAGCAGGGAGAUGUUGCACAGCAUGGGCCACAACAACACAGUUAACGGCUCUCCUCGGACAAACUUUGCAGCGGAGAAUGACUACAUUGCCAAGUCAGCCUCUUUGCCAGGAUAUGGCAGGAAUGGAUUGCACAGGCCACAAAGCGCAGACUACUAUCAGUAUGACAGUGGCAGUGAAGUCAACUGGGGAAUCAGAGGCAAGUAAAGGAGGUUUUUAUUUUUAAAUGACAUUUUUGCUGACAUAUUUGAGAUUAAAAUUGUCUGUACAUUGACUUAUUUUUUUAUUUCUUUGUUUUCCAGCAGAGUACAAGGUAAGAAAGAUGGUUUACAUUACCAGAUGAUUAAAGAGUCUUAGAGAAACACUAAACAUCCUGAUAGAGAGGCACCUCUGAAACAUUAGCCCACUCCAGUGGAAAGUCGGUCUAAUGAACCCUGAUGGGUCAAAGCAACGUCCUGCUGGUCAAAGCGUGUGGAAACUAGAGGAUGGAGAAAUUAGGGCUUCCAGGUCAUAAGGCCACUGUGUAAUUCCCCAGCUGGCUCUUAGUGACUUGGAGACUGCAGGGGCCAUUGAGAGGGCAGGGGUUUGCUCUUAGUUGGUCAGGAACUAUAUUGUUCUGCUUGGUGCCGCUUCCUGUCUCGGUUACAGCUACUGUGCCAGAGGCUCUGUGAUUUCCUUUCACUGCUGAAAAGUGAGAGGAAAAGGAGGUCCACCAAUGCAGUCUGCUCUGAGAACAAUGCUUAGCUUUCCAUUACCAUUAUCAUAGAAAGUCAUGACGAUUAUUUGUAUAUAAAUAAAUAUGAGUUUAAAUGUUUAUGCUAAUGUAUUUUAAAGCUUAUAAUAAAAUGCAUUGCUAACUUUCAUUACAGAUCUAUCCAUAUGAAGCACUUAUUGUGACCACUAGGGGGCGGAACAGGUUGCCGAAGGAUGUAGACCGAGCCAGAUUGGAGCGGCAUCUUUCCCCUGAGGAGUUUUAUCAGGUAUUUGGGAUGACGAUGGUAGAGUUUGACCGUCUGGCACUGUGGAAGAGGAAUGAGAUGAAGAAACAAGCCCGGCUGUUCUAGCGUUCCUGUCCCACACACACAGAGAGACCUGAAUACCUGUUCCAGUCUAACUAAACAAACACAUCCUGUGUCUCAGACAUAUAGUCAUGCCUGGACUGUACCUACAAAUUGUGCAACUGUUGUUUGUGACAGAGGCAUGUAAAUGAUCAGACAGGAUAGAAUACCUGACGAAGAAUAACGGAAUGGAGGGAACAUUUUGGUUUUUACUUGAGUGUAAAGUGGUUCUUGAACACAUUUUAUUUUGUUUCUGAAUGACAAAAAUAAGGAAUCAGGAAUUAUAAGGAUUUUGAAUUUUGCCUUAUGUUCUCUAUUAAUUUAUGCACCAGCAAAGUGAGUGAACAGAAUGUAAAUAUGAUUAAUACAACUAUAAUGAGAGUGGAUGAAUCGUCUGACAUCAUCCAUUAAGUACAUUAUUAAGUAAUAUUUAAUUUUAAAGGUUAUAAAAUAAUAUUUUUCAGUUCUUUUGUUUCACUAUUAUACUACAUAAGCUUAGGUGGGCUGAAGUAAGCGAUGAUUUGCUUGACAAUGAAUACCAAAGUUUGACUGUUAUUUGUGAAGUUAGCAGAUGAAAUUGAGCACUACAGUGCUGUACUUUGUUCAGGUCAUUUCCAAGGGGUAACGAAUACUGAAUGUACACUUUUCUCACAAGAGGACUUUAGGAUUAUUAGACUAAUUAUGAUGAUGCAUACAUUGUAUAUUGUGAUGGUAGAAAUAAAUAUGGCUUGUGUUUGAUACAGAUGAUAAAGACAAAACAUAGUAGGAAAAAAUUAUGGUGCAAUGUUUUUCUCUUCUUCUUUUUUUUUUCCCAGAUGUUUUGCUCUUAAAAAAAAGGAGAUCUGUUGUUUAGGUUAGGGCAGUUUACUUUCAUAACUCCUGUUAGGAUGGAUCAGGAAAUGCUGUGAUACCUUAAGUGGGUUUAUUAUAUUUUCAAGUCAUGCCAGGGCGGAAUACGUCACCUGAUUUGGUAAUCAAAUGAACGGAGAGGGAGUAAACGGAUUGUAUGGCUAAUGACAGGGAUAACAUAUUCACACUCAUGUAUUGUUUGAUGGAAAUACACAUUACCGCACCAUUGAAGCAAGUGACAAACUGUAACCUUGAUUAGGACCUAACAGUAACCAUGAGGUCUUUAAUGCCAAGGGAUACUGACAUUAGUUUUGUACCUCACUGACAAACAGGUGAAACCAUCAUGUUUUCUGCCUUUGUGUGUAGUGUUUACAACCUGUUUGCCCAAUAGAUUGUUAUGAAGUGUUCUAUUAAUUUCAAAGUAAAGGAAGAGAGCUAGAGUAUAACCAUAUUUUUGAUUCUCUUUUUUAAUCACUACUGCUAACUUAUCUGUCAGUUUCAACAGACUAUGUACAUCUUAUAUUGCAAUAAAAGUUUGUUUUCUUGUGUAAAA